rnacentral:rRNA from 1 species
ACGAACGCUGGCGGCGUGCUUAACACAUGCAAGUCGAGCGGUAAGGCCCUUUCGGGGGUACACGAGCGGCGAACGGGUGAGUAACACGUGGGUGACCUGCCCUCAGCUCUGGGAUAAGCCUGGGAAACCGGGUCUAAUACUGGAUAUGACUCCAUGACGCAUGUUGUGGGGUGGAAAGCCUUGUGCGGCUGAGGAUGGGCCCGCGGCCUAUCAGCUUGUUGGUGGGGUGANGGCCUACCAAGGCGACGACGGGUAGCCGGCCUGAGAGGGCGACCGGCCACACUGGGACUGAGACACGGCCCAGACUCCUACGGGAGGCAGCAGUGGGGAAUCUUGCGCAAUGGGCGAAAGCCUGACGCAGCGACGCCGCGUGAGGGAUGACGGCC